rnacentral:rRNA from 1 species
AUUGAACGCUGGCGGCAUGCCUUACACAUGCAAGUCGAACGGCAGCACGGACUUCGGUCUGGUGGCGAGUGGCGAACGGGUGAGUAAUGUAUCGGAACGUACCUUUCAGUGGGGGAUAACGUAGCGAAAGUUACGCUAAUACCGCAUAUUCUGUGAGCAGGAAAGCAGGGGAUCGCAAGACCUUGCGCUGAUUGAGCGGCCGAUAUCAGAUUAGCUAGUUGGUGAGGUAAAGGCUCACCAAGGCGACGAUCUGUAGCGGGUCUGAGAGGAUGAUCCGCCACACUGGAACUGAGACACGGUCCAGACUCCUACGGGAGGCAGCAGUGGGGAAUUUUGGACAAUGGGGGCAACCCUGAUCCAGCCAUGCCGCGUGAGUGAAGAAGGCCUCGG